rnacentral:tRNA from 1 species
GAGGGAUUUAGCUUAAUUAAAGCAAAUGAUUUGCAUUCAUUAGAUGUAGGAUAAAUUCCUGUAACCCUUAA